rnacentral:lncRNA from 1 species
GGGAGUCUUAUUACCCCCUUAAAAUACUUUAAAAUGGAAUAAAUAACUUCUUAAGUGUUAAGUUGGCAUGGAGAGUGUAUUUCACUCUCUUUGAGAGAGUGAGUUGCCUAUUUUUUUUAAAAAUUUCCGAUUUUUUUUUCUAAUUUUCUUUUUUCUUUCUCUUUCUUCUUAUUUAUCUAUAUAACAUUUUUCAUCAUUAUCAUUGUUGAAACUUUUUCAAUGGAUGUUUGAAAUAAAAUUAUCAACAACAAUGCAUUUAAUGAAUAAACAUUUUUUCAAUAA